GGAUGUGAAAUCCCCGGGCUCAACCUGGGAACUGCAUUCGAAACUGGCAGGCUUGAGUCUUGUAGAGGGGGGUAGAAUUCCAGGUGUAGCGGUGAAAUGCGUAGAGAUCUGGAGGAAUACCGGUGGCGAAGGCGGCCCCCUGGACAAAGACUGACGCUCAGGUGCGAAAGCGUGGGGAGCAAACAGGAUUAGAUACCCUGGUAGUCCACGCCGUAAACGAUGUCUACUUGGAGGUUGUGCCCUUGAGGCGUGGCUUCCGGAGCUAACGCGUUAAGUAGACCGCCUGGGGAGUACGGCCGCAAGGUUAAAACUCAAAUGAAUUGACGGGGGCCCGCACAAGCGGUGGAGCAUGUGGUUUAAUUCGAUGCAACGCGAAGAACCUUACCUGGUCUUGACAUCCACGGAAGUUUUCAGAGAUGAGAAUGUGCCUUCGGGAACCGUGAGACAGGUGCUGCAUGGCUGUCGUCAGCUCGUGUUGUGAAAUGUUGGGUUAAGUCCCGCAACGAGCGCAACCC
rnacentral:rRNA from 2 species